rnacentral:lncRNA from 1 species
UUCCUACUUAGUCUCAUUUUUGUUUGCAAUAAUUUUAGCAAUAUAUGCAUGGAGGUUGUUGGAUUGGGCAUGGUUUAGGCCAAGGAAACUAGACAAGUGCCUAAGAAAACAAGGUCUUAAAGGGAACUCUUACAAAUUAAUAUUUGGAGACCUCAAAGAGUUGUCCAAAAGCUUUGAAGUUGCAAAGUCCAAACCAUUGAAUGUCUCUGAUGAUGAUAUAUCUCCCAAAAUUCUUCCUUAUUUUGUUGAAGCAAUCAAGAAACAUGGUAAGUUUUCCUUUUGUUUCGCACCUAAUGGUGUUUUAAUUUCUGCCUGUUUUUCAGACCGACUAAUUUGCAAUACUAGUCAAGUUUGGCGUAAUACAUGCACAUUUAACUUGACUUCAAUUUUCAUCUAUGCCCUUCAACUUUCAACUUUGGGUAUGCACAAGUGGACACAUAAACUUGUAUAAAGUUGAUCAAAUACAUGCAUCUGUCCUAUGUGGCAUCUUAUUUGACUAAUUUAUGUCCUACAUGGCGUCCUAGAUGUAUUAUGCCACAUAGGACGCAUAUAUCUAUUUGUUCAACUUUAUGCAAUUUUAAGUGUCUACUUAUGCAAUUCAAAGUUGCAGAUCUUAGUUGUAAACUGAAGCCAAGGUAAAGGCAUGCUUAUGCAUUAUGCCUUAAAAAUUCAUUGCUAGGUAGGAAUUAGCUAAGAAAUUUGUCGCUAAUAUGUCAAGAAAUAAUUAGAAGCUAACAUGAUUUAUUGAUAUUAAUCUAUAGUUAAAUAAUAUUAGCGACUUGUAUUUACUAUUUAGUGACAAAGUUAUCCAUUGCUAAUAUUUUUUGUAGUGCAGUUACCAACCCACCACAACUUUUUGUGAGGGUAAGUUUCCAAUACUUAUGUUAUGUAAGAAAAAGGAGUUCUUUGAAUUUUGGAGAGCAAAUGGUCCGUUAAAUUUGAUUAAAACUAUGAAAAAAUUGAUAUUAGCAAAAACUCACUUACAUGGGAACAAGUUUUGUAGUUUUUAUUUUUGAUUUAUUUGAUCUAGAGUUUGUUGUAACUUUUUGAAAUGUAAUUUUUGCUAAAUUUUUAUAUCUUUUUAUUAUCGAGUUCAAUUUUCUUUUGUCGUUACUACAAAUUAUUGGAUUUGAUGAUACUUUCUUGGCAUUUAUGAUUGUUUUUCUCCCCACAGUUUCCUAUCAAAUCUAACGAACAUAAACGGAGACUGAAAGUAUUAACUUUUGACAAAAUUAAAUGAGUAAAACUGUUUUGUAUUAAUCAAUGACUUAUCUGAACCUACCAUUAAUCAUAAGAGAUCAUUUAUGUCACCUUCUCAACUUUGGACUUCCAAAAUUUUACAGGUAAAAACUGUUUUAUAUGGUUUGGGCCAAAGCCUAUGGUAUUAGUAUGGGACUCUGAGGCAAUAAGAGAUGUGUUGAACAAAUAUGCUCUCUACCAUAAGCCCGACUCAACUCCCAUCACCAAGUUGCUAGCACAAGGAAUUUCAAGCUACGAAGAGGACAAGUGGGCCAUGCACAGAAAAAUCCUCAAUCCUGCUUUCCACGUGGAGAAGAUAAAGGUAUUUCUCACCUACAAAAUGAUCAAGAAAUAGUUUUAAGUAAUACAUAAGAAUAUCUCAUCUUUAACCGUUUAAGUUUUUAAAUGAAAUAAUCACAUAAUUCGUUAUGAUAGAAUAGGCAUCCUUAGAUUAAAAUCUCGUUGCCACCGAAAUACAUUAGAUAUUUCCACGUAGAGGCAGAGCUAGAAGCCAAAGGGGAUUCAUCUAAAUCCCCUUCUUUAAAAAUUUACUAUGUACAUAUAAGAUUAAACUUAUUAUUUUUAUCUAUCUGUAGUAUGUGAUGAAUUCUCUUAGUCCUUGGUUGUGUUUAUUUCUUUAUAUUUCCAAUUCCUUUUAUGGAAUUCUGGUUUCGGUACUAUCUACAUGUUUGGCCUAUGAGGAAAAAGAAACCAGGUAUACAAACGAACGUUGAAUAUAUCAUUGGCAUACUAUAUAAACACACACUCAAAUUUAGCUUUAACUACCAAGUAAAAACACUUGUUUACCAAACAUAUCAAUAACUUUUUUCCAGUUUCAGCACUUGUAUCCAAACACAUAACUGUUUAUUUUUAAAAUAAGACAGAGGCGGAUUUAGAGGCCCGGGUGAGGGAUUCCGGGAACCCAAUAACUUUCGUACGGAUUUAGUAUUUAUAUAGAGAAAUCUAGUAAAUAUAUAAGAAUUAUAAGUUGGAAAUCCAUAAACUAAAUGUAUUGUUGAUCUAGGGGAGUAGAAAGACUUACAAAACUUUCAUUGACCUCAUGGUUGUAGGUUCAAAUUCCCAUAGUAUCUAUUUGUUUUUAUGUUUAUCUAAUAUGGGAACCCACAAACUUUAAAUUCUACUUUCAAAAAAACACUUUAAAAACCACUUUUUUCAACUUAUUCAAAUGGGCCCGAUAUCAACUCUACUUUCUGUUGGGAAAAUCGACUAUUUUUCCCGCCCCUUCCGGAUCGCUGUCAAGCAGAAAAUAACAGAGAAAUUAAAUUUCAAGCAGAAAAUAAUAGAGAAAUUAAAGAGAAUAACAACACAAAGAUUUAACGUGGAAAACUCUCCAAUGGGAGAAAAACCACGGGCCUCCCAAAAAAAUAUUCACUAUAUGGAAAUUAUUACACCAUACAAUACAUAAUAUUUUUCUCACACACCCUCACUUCCUAUAAUACUAUACUCAAAGAGAUCUCCAAGAGAAUUAUCUCUAAACCUCUUUAAUAGUAAAGAAAGAAAAGAAUAUUUUUAUGUGUGUUAAACUAUGAAGGAGGUAGAGUUUAUUUAUAACUCCCAUCCUCCUUCCAACCAAAGUAAAUUUCCGAUGUAGGAUUUUCUUUUUUCAAAACAAACUAUAACACUUUCUUGGACUCCACUUGUGGAAUUACAAUAGAUAUGAUGUUGCAACUCUGCUUUCAUUCUGUUUUCUUUUUUACAUUUUUGUUCCUUUCUGGCUUGCAAAUUUAACCCAAGUUUGCAGGAGUGAAAUUUUCUACAAGAUACAGUUUGGUAGCACUAAUAUGUGGUUUACAAAUGUGUAGAAUAUGCUUUCAGCAGUUCAUUUGUGCUGCACUGAAAUGGUGAGCCAAUGGGAGGAGGCUGUCUCAAUGAAAGGAACAUCCUGCGAACUCGAUGUAUGGCCUUAUCUCCAAAGAUUGACUAGUGAUGUAAUUUCUCGCACAGCCUUUGGGAGCAACUAUGAAGAAGGUCGAAAGAUAUUUGAGCUUCAAAAAGAACAAGCUGAGUAUGUCAUUGAAGCUUCUCGCACCUUAUAUAUUCGAGGAUGGAGGUAAUAAAAUGUCGUUUUCCCUGAGUCUUUAAGUUUUAUAUUAUGAAAUUUGGGUGCAUUACUAGAAAAAGAAGGAACAACUAUAUUAAGUGAGAAUUGAUCCCUAAUUCACAAGUUAAAUAUUUCAACAUUCACCCAAGUGUACCAUUAACAUACUUAAAUAGCAUAGGUGCAUGUAAGGUAAGGUUGCGUACAGUAGAUCUGUGUUCAAUAUUAUGAACUUCAAUAUUAAGUUCAAGUUAAAGUGUGAACAACCAAAUGAAGUUCUAACUAUGUAUUCACAAGUAUGAACUUCAAUAAUAAGUUCAAACCAACUUAUAGGUGAAUAUAACAACGAAUAUAACUAUAGGUGAACCAACCCGGUCCAAUAAACAAGUGAUUAAUUGUUGAUGAUAUACAUAUUGUUAUUGAUUGUAGGUUUUUGCCUACUAAGAGAAACAGAAGGAUGAAGGAGAUUGACAAAGAUGUUCAAGCAAUGAUUAGAGGAAUCAUUGAUAAGAAAGUGAAGGCAAUGAAAGCAGGGGAAACCAAUGCUGAUGACUUAUUAGGCAUGUUGUUGGAGUCCAACUUUACAGAAAUUGAACAACAUGGUAACCAGGAUUUUGGUAUGACUACACGAGAGGUCAUCGAGGAGUGUAAAUUGUUCUAUUUUGCUGGGCAAGAGACCACCUCUGUAUUGCUUGUAUGGACAAUGAUUUUGUUGAGCAGGCAUCCAGAUUGGCAAGCUCGUGCUAGAGAAGAGGUUUUGCAAGUCUUUGGUGAUGAUGGAACACUAGAAUUGGAUGGAUUAAACCGCUUAAAGAUUGUAAGUUAACAUUUUACCUUCUUUUAUGCAUCCAGAAUCUAAUAUUUGUUAAAUUUUUGUACUACUUCUCACAGACAUAUACACAUAUGUUCUAUGUCGAAUUGGGUUCAAUAUGCUAUUUCAAUGUGGAACUCCUCCUAAUCAUAUAGGUGACAAUGAUUUUUCACGAGGCAUUAAGGCUAUAUCCACCAAUUGAAGCGCUUUGUCGAAUGACUAAAACUAAAACCAAGCUAGGGGAACUAAAUUUACCAGCUGGAGUGAUGCUCUCUAUGCCAAUAAUGUUAGUGCAUCAUGACAAAGAAAUAUGGGGUGAAGAUGCAUCGGAGUUCAAGCCAGAGAGAUUCAGUGAAGGCGUUUCAAAGGCAACAAAGGGCCAAAUGACGUUUUUCCCAUUUGGUGGGGGCCCUAGGAUAUGCAUUGGACAAAACUUCGCGAUGAUAGAAGCCAAGAUGGCUUUGGCUAUGAUUCUACAACGCUUCACAUUUGAAUUAUCUCCUUCUUAUACACAUGCUCCACAGCCUGUUAUAACUACCCAGCCUCAGUAUGGUGCUCCUCUUGUGUUGCACAGAUUGUAAAAAGAGUGAAUAAACCCUCUUAUGCAAAUUAGUUUACACUAGUCACUCUUUCCUCUUUUCUAGCUUGGAACAAAUAACACUAUCUUUAUAUUUGAAAAGUUUUUCAUUUGAAAUAUCUCAUUUUCUGUUAAUGAGAUGAACUUGUACAUAUAAUAUUCCGUUAUGACAUAUUUUUGAGCACAAGUACCAAUAAUUAAGAAUACUUUUGGUAUUUUGUAAUUUUCUUUCCUCAUUUUUCUUAAAUUUUGUGUUCAAUCAAACACUAUCAUGACAAGAAUCACAUGGAGCAGUAAUAUCUUUGUAGAAUCAGUCAAAUCUCUCUUAACGUGUUAAUAUGUUAAAUUUUAAUCUGCCUCACUACUUGAUCACCAGUCUUGAAUGAAUUUGGAAAUACCUUGAGGUUUCUGAUUUGCCAAAUAUAGUAUACAGUGGCUUCCAUUGCAUAUAUAUAUAUAUAUAUGUAUUGCCAACUCUUCUUUAAAUAAAACUGUCUUUUCACUAUUUUUCUUUAUUUUCCUAAAAUAUAUAGAGUAGGGGAAUUAAUUAAUAUUUUCCUUCUACUAGACUUCCUAAAAUAUAUGAGGCUCCUAAAAUAUAUGGUAGGAGAAUUAAUUAAUAUUUUUCUUUCUACUAGACUUCCUAAAAUAUAUGGAACUCCUAAAAUAUAUGAUAGAAGAAUUAAUUAAAUUUUUUUUUUUUUACUGUUCAAUUAAAAAAAUACUCCUAAAAUAAUAUUCUAUUAAGAAAAUACUUCUCUAUAUAUUGAGAUGUACCUUAAAUUAGAGAACAAACCGGUUUGCCUAUUGAGAGAAUAUGAUUGAUGCUCAUCAAACUUGAUUCGAUUGCAUGUCUAAAUUGGUGGAUACUUGAUUUUCUAACUCUCAACUUCUUCACUGUUUUUAUCCGCAUAAUAGAAUUCAAUGUGUGUGUAUAUAUAUACUAGUUUAUGGGUACGCGCUUUGCACGUGUAUCUCAUUUUAAUGAGUUCAAACAUUACACUAAAUAGGAUAUUUGUUUAAAUAAUAAAGAUGAAUAAAUAAUUAAAUUUAAUUUCUUUUGAAUAUGUAAAGAUGGAGAGUUUAUUUAUUAAACCUAACCUUUACCAAAAAUAUUUUUAAAAGUCGAUCGACAUUCAUCUACCAUCUGUAAAUUGCAACAAAAUAAUACAAUCAUAGAGGCAUCAAAAUAAUACAAUUAAAUUUAAUCUUUACAAAAAAAAAUAAUUCUCAAAGUCAUUCGAUACUCAUCUACCACCUGUAAACAAUAACAAAAUAAUACGAUAAUAGAGAUAUCAAAACAAUACAAUUAAAACAACUUUUACACAAGAAAUUAUUCAUAGCCAACCGAUAGUAAACUAUAAAAAAAAUAAUAUAAUAGUGAUCACAAAGCUUCAAUUUUGAUCUAACUAAUUCUUAUCUGAGCAAAAGUUUUGACCCUAAAGAAUGAUUUUGAAUGAAAUUAAAGAAGAUAUAUAUAUAUAUAUAUAUAUACACACACAUAUUAUACUGAUAAAAACAGUGAAGAAGUUGAGGGUUAGAAAAUCAAAUAUCCAUUAAUCUUGACAUAGAAUCGAAUCAAGUUAGAUAAGCAUCAAUCAUAUUCUCCCAAUAAGCAAACCUGUUUGUUCUCUAGUUCAACGUACAUCUCAAUAGUUAUAGAAGUAUUUCCUUAAUAGAGUCCUAUUUUAAGAGUAUUUUUCUAAUUGAACAGUAGAAAGAAAAAUAUUAAUUAAUUNNNNNNNNNNNNNNNNNNNNNNNNNNNNNNNNNNNNNNNNNNNNNNNNNNNNNNNNNNNNNNNNNNNNNNNNNNNNNNNNNNNNNNNNNNNNNNNNNNNNNNNNNNNNNNNNNNNNNNNNNNNNNNNNNNNNNNNNNNNNNNNNNNNNNNNNNNNNNNNNNNNNNNNNNNNNNNNNNNNNNNNNNNNNNNNNNNNNNNNNNAAUAUAAAACAGAGAACAAACUAAAAAGAAUAAUAUUACAAAAAUCAAACAAGGAAGAUAAUUAAGGACCUCUAACCCGAUCAACACAUAAAUACACCCGUAUAAAAACACAGUGGAUUAUUAUAGAAACAGAUAAUUAAUAAUAAUAAACACCUACAUUCAAAAAAAAUUAUUUGAACAAAGAAAUAAAAGGUAUAGAGAUAAACUUUUAAUUUUUUCGUCUACUUCAUUCGGCAACAUGCUUGUUACGUUGAGGCUUUAAUCUGAAUUUUUCAACUGCAAGAAAAACGCGAGAAAAACUAUAAGGGAAAAUUCAUUGUCAAUUGUUCAUUGUGUAUAAUGCAUAUAUAAUCAAUCUCUAAAACUAUUAGAAAAAUAAAAGGCAAAAGAAUGAACAUGGUGAAUGAAAGAAGAGGACUUGAAUCAAAUAAGAAAAAAUAUAAGUAGAAGUUAUGUUUCUUGUAAGAUUGGUUUAAAAUAUUACUUAAAUAAAAUUGUAGAAAUUAUUAUUUUUUUACAUAAGGUAAAAUUUUAAUAAUUUAAAAGUGUUAAAUAUAAUGAAUGUUUACCUAUUAAGGACCUGAAUUAAUUUUAAAAUCAAUUAUAUAAUAAUUAUUUUAUAACAAAAGUUACUUAAAAAAUAAUUUAUACGUUUUAAGUCAUAUUUAAUCUAGAGUUGUUUGCUUAAUUAGAAUCCUAAUUUUGGUAUGUUUUUUUUUGUUGUUGGUAAUACUAAUUGUGGUAUGCUACUAAAGAAGGAAAAAAAGGAAAUUUUGUGUUUGCUUGUCUUGAAAUUUAAUCCCGUUUGUUUUAAUAUUUUUUUCCCUUAAAACCAAUCUACUAUUAUUAGAAGGGAAUCUAAGUAAUUAUAAAUAUUAAUUAAUUAUAGCCGACACCUAACAAAAUUUUCCAUAAAAUUGGGAGUGUUCCCAUAUAUUUGAGGUUUUAAUUUUUUUUUAUAUUUAUUAAAGUCAAUAUUCAAUAUUAAUAAUAAUUAUUUGAGGAAAAAAAUAAAAAGAUGAUUUUAUCUAUUGUGAAGUCUUUUAAUGAAGUGCAAAAAGUUCAAAACACUUUUUUAAGCGUCUUCACACUUUUAAUAUAUUAUAGAUUAUAGAUAUAAAUAUAGAUUAUAUAUAUAUAUAUAUAUAUAUAUAUNNNNNNNNNNNNNNNNNNNNNNNNNNNNNNNNNNNNNNNNNNNNNNNNNNNNNNNNNNNNNNNNNNNNNNNNNNNNNNNNNNNNNNNNNNNNNNNNNNNNNNNNNNNNNNNNNUGUGUGUGUGUAUAUAUAUAUGUGUGUAUAUAUAUAUAUGUAGCUACUUUAUUUUCAUUUCAAAAUCAUUUUUUAGGGUCAAAAUUUUCGUUCAGACAAGAAUUAGUUGGAUCAAAAUCGAAGUUUUGUGAUCCCAAUUAUAUUUUUCUUUUAUAGUUUACAGAUCGUAGAUGAAUGUCAGUCGGCUUUGAAGAAUUUCUUGUGUAAAGGUUAGAUUUAAUUGUAUUGAUUUGAUAUCUUUAUUAUCUUAUUAUUUUAUUUUAAUUUAAAGGUGCUAGAUGCUUGUGGGUCAGCUUUAACAAUAUUUUUUUAGGUAAAGGUUGGGUUUAAUUGUAUUAUCAUAAUAUCUCUAUUCUUGGGCGGAGCUACAUGUAAGUUAGGGGGUUCAUCCAAACCCCAUUCGAUGAAAAAUUAUGCUAUAUAUAUAGUUAAAAUUAUUUUUUAUGUAUAUAUAGUAGAUGUCGAACCUCUUUCGGUUAGAUGGUAUGUUCACUUGUGAAUUGCCUUGCUGAAAAUCUUGGCUCCGCCACUAUCUCUAUUAGUUUGAUAGUUUGUGGUAGUUUACAGUUCGUAGAUGAAUCUUGAUCGGCUUUGAAAAAUUUUUGUGUGUAAAAUUUAAGUUUAAUUAUAUUAUUUUGAUAUUACUUUUAUCGUAUUAUUUUGUUGCAGUUUACAGGUGAUAGAUUAAUGUUGGUCGGCUUUGAGAAAUUUUUUUAUGUAAAGAUUAGGUUUAGUUGUAUUAUUUUGAUAUCUUUAUUUUCAUAUUAUUUUGUUAUUGUUUGCAGGUGAUAGAUGGGUAUCAGACGACUUUGAGAAAAUUUUUGUGUGUAAAGAUUAGAUUUGAUUGUAUUAUUUGAUGUCUCUAUCAUUGUGUUAUUUUGUUGCAAUUUAUUAAUAAAUAAAUUCUCCAUCUUUACAUACUCAAAAGAUAUUAAAUUUAAUUAUUAUAUUCAUCUUUAUUAUUUAAACAAAUAUCCUAUUUAGUGUAAUAUUUGAGCUCAUUAAAGUGAGGUAUACGCGCAAGGUGCGUUUAGAAAAGUGAUUCGAACUUUUUACCCUUUACUAAAAAGCUUUGUUUUAGACAAAAUUGUCUUUUCACUUUUUUUCUUCAAUUAUUAUAUUAUUAUCUUUAUAAUAUUAAAUAUUGACUAUAAUAAAUAUAUGAUAUGAGAAUAUUCCUAAAUAUAUGGAAAGACUCCUAAAUUUAUGAAAAGUUUUAAUUUGUUGGGUAUGUAUUUUUUAAUGGAAAAUUAGUAAUACUAUUUUUUUAACCAAAACUAUUCUGGCGUGUACAAAGAAGAACCCCAAAAAUUUAAAUUACUACUAAUAUUAAGUAAAAUUUAACUUAAAUAAAACGUUUUCCUUAUAUAAAUCCUAAAAGUCAUAGCCACCAGAUUUAUGAUAGUCCCUUUUUUCCUCUCACGUGUAUCCUUUUUGGGUAUGUUCUCAAAACAAAUAAUUUGGUUUGUAAUUGUUUUAGGUUUAGUUAUUUGAUAUAGGUAAUAAAUUAUAAUAUUUAAUAGUUUAAAAUUAAUUAGAAUUUUACCUUAUAUAAAAAAAGUGAUUUCUAAAAUUCUAUUUAAGUAAUAUUAUGAACUCAAAAGUUACAAGAAACAUACUCCUAUUUCUACGUUUUCUUAUUAUUUUGAUUUUGCUUCAUGUGUAUUCUUGCAUUUAUUAUUAUCACCCUUUAUGUUUUCAUUUAUUUCUUUUAAUUUAUAGCUUUAAAAAUUAUGUAGGAGUUAUACAUAAUCAACAAUUGAUAAUCAAUACACUUCAUUUAAUUUUUCGUGUCUCUCUUUCAAAAGAGAAUUUUUGAUUGAAAAACUGAAAGAAUUUCCCGUCGAAUGAAGUAGCUACAAAAAUAAAAGGUUUAUUUCUUUUUUUUUUUCCAUUUAAUUGUGACUUAGUUUUGAUAAUGUUAUUGAACUAUAUUUUGAUAUAUGAUUCGUUAGUUUUAUAGUUGAAUCCUUGAUUAAACUUAUUAGUUGAGUUUGAAUUAUAAGAUCAACUAAUAAAUUGGAGUAGCUUAUUGUUCUUUAAUCUUUAAUUGGUUGAGUAGCUUAACUCGAAGAACAACCUUAAAACUCUAAGUUAGAGUUAAAUAUAUUUAGGAAUGAUUCAUAGUGCUUUAGCUAAUUUAGCAUUGUAAUGAGACAUUCAUUUUUAAGAUGUUGUAGCAUUAACACUUUUAGGGUGGAGAGAAUAUACACACGUGCAACACAUGUAUACUUGACUAGUAUAUAUAUGUGUGUGUGCGCGCUCGCGUGUGUAGCCAGUCCUCUUGGACAACCAAGAGUGUUAUGUAAAAAGGAUCAAGGAAGAUCCUAGUCGUGAGGAGAAGGGGUAGGAGUAGGUGCUAGAUUUAGGGGCGUAAUCGAAGAAAUGAAAUUCAUUUAUGCCACGACGAUCUAUAUGGAAGGGAAGUUUUGUUGAUGCAUUCCUCUUGAGAAUGAAGAAGAAGAGAGAUCUUAUUUUUAACAGGAAAAUUUGGUCAUAUAGAUCUUCUAUUUUGCCGAAAUUCAUUGAUUGCUCUGUACGAAUUUAUAAUGGAAAAGCUUCUGUUUGUUGUAAGAUUAUUGAAGGAAAGGUUUUUCAUUAAUGUGGAGAGUUUGCUUUUACGUGGAAAAGAAGACCUUCAAGAACAAAUAUUGGACCGGGAAGAAAAAAGGCAUUAUUCAUAUACUCUCCUCCUUUAAUUUGUUUGACCUAUUUUCCUUUUUAAUUUAUUUUUAAAAAAUAUUUGACAUGUUUAGGAGCACAAGAUCAAAGGACAUUUUGGUACGUUUGACAUAUCUUUGAUUUAAGACUAUAAGAAGACAUUUGGUGUGAGGUAUAAGGUAUAAUAAUCCAGAGAUAAAAUGCAGGAUAUCUAGCAUUUGGUUGGAGGAAUUAGUUAGUUCCAGAAUUACUUAUCCCACCAUUUAAAUCAUAGUGAUGGGAUAAACUAUCCCAUAUACAUAGUGCUAUAUCUGAUUUUGAGAUAACUAAUCCCCGGAUAACUUGUUACCAACCAAAAGAUUAAGGAGUAUUUUGACACAUUUGACAUAUCCUGGUUUAUAAUAAUAAGAUUCUAAAAUAUUCUUUAUUUUCUUAAAUUUUGUACCAAGUCAAAAGAGAUCAAUCAAUUUAAAAUGAAGGGAAUGUUUAUUAUCACGACUCAGUGUAAAAUUUUAUUUUGAAUUUAAGGCGGUGGCAUUUUUUAGUAUACUUCUUAUAUCCAAAAUGAUAUUUAUAUGUCUUAAGUAACAAUUUAUUUCAGGGGCGGAUCCAGGGGCUUGGGUGGGGGUUCCUAGAACCCAGUAAGUUUUGCGGAUCUUGUAUUUAUAUAGAGAAAUCUAGUAAAUAUAUAACAAUUAUAAGUUGUGAUAGCAUACAAACUACGAAAUCGGAAACUAAACUACGAUACAAAAUGAAAGCUAAAAGGAUAGAUAGAAAGCAAGAAAUAGAUAGACUGAAUGAAUGAAUGGAUAGCAAACUAAGGGUAUAUUAAAACCCUAACCCUUUAUUCAAUAUCAAUCAAAGCAUCUAACUCUCAUGUAGACCUCAACGGAAUCGGAUUCCCAAGCAACCCACGUUUCUAAACAAGGUAUCAACACAAGCUUAUCCAAGCUUGUCUCACACACUCAAAAGAGUAUACAUUCAUAAUUCAUCAAAAUCUCCCUCCUAAAUGAAAGAAAGGUCCUAUUUAUAGUCUUGGUUAAAUUAUUACAUCUUAUGGGCCCAAAAAUGACCCAUUUGGAAAGAACAAAUCAUGGUUGCCCACUUAACAUCUGUUUAAGCAUUUAUGGAGUAUAUGGGGCACAUCUCAGGUGUAUCCCAAGGGAAUAGUGGAUUGUUUUUACUUGAUCUAGCAGAUAUAGAGCUGGUUGGUCGCACCUUCAAAGCGGAUGGGGCAUAUAUCCUCUUUUGGAGGCUUUCUAGCCCCGUCUUGCACUCCCUUGGCCUCUUUAAUGUCCCUUGACCCUCCUUAAAGAUUAUCACCAUCCAAUUGGCACCUUUUGAUAGCACCAAGGAGUUAUCAAGUGCCUCUUGGACCAUGAGCCUCUCAUCCAAAGAUCGGGAGGUAAUUGGGAUUAUAUCAUCCCCUCCUUCUUGAAGAGAAUUCGUCCUCAAAUCUACAACCUUAAAGCACAAGAGAAGAACACACAACCAACAAAUCCUCAAAGCACGAGAGUUAGCACAGUGGUGAACAUAAACACAUCUAUGCCAAAGAGGUACACAUUUGACAUACAACCAAUGAUUUUUUUAUCAACAAAAUGAAUUCAUCAUACACUACACAAAAGGUGUUGGCUAUAAGGAGUCUUAUGAAACAAGGAAACUACCAAGGUUGUAAGACACAAGUAUUUCAUUAUUUCACCAUAAGUCUAUACCCAAGAACUCCUACCUCUAUCUAAAAUAAAUCCCACAUCAACAUGGAUAUUAUCAAAUGCAAAGAAGAUGAGUCUCUUCCAUGGUGUUUCCAUACUUAAGAGUAGCAUGGUACUUAAGAAAUCUAGUAAUCAAGUCACUAGAAGUUGUAACAACCAAGGAUAGAGUCAAGUCAUUAGGAUGCAUAACACCCUUCCUUCAAGACAACUCAUGUUCACACUAAAUGCAUUUUCAACACAAACAUGGCAAUUAUUAUAGGCAAAAAGAUAGAAAAGAAAAGAGUUAAGGACACCAUUCUCAUCUAAAUUACCCUCAAUAAUAAGUCUACAAGAAGCUGAGAUAAGACAAUUUAAGCAUAUUACAUUUUUUCAUUUCUAGCAACUUCCCACACUAAGUACAUUCACCAACUCAAUCAUGCUAUUAGAGAAAAUAGAGGAUCUAUAAGAAACCAAUUCACUCCAAGCCAAACGGUAUACCCAAGAUGUUGGGUGAAUUCUUUUCAUGGCACUUAGCAUGUUUCUAAGAGUCCUUCCUAUUACCUCAACUCGUCCAAUCACACAAGUGUGAAGAUGAUUAGGAAACAUAAGUCAUACAUUAAGUACACACCAAGGACUUUUCCUAAAACCAUAAAUAGAUUGGGUAUCUAGAUUGCAAGACCCACACAAUUCAACCACCAAAGAAAACACCAUAAAGGAAUCUUGAAGACACUAAUAUUCUCAUGGUGUGACAUGAUAUCAAUCAAUUUCAAGGGUCUAUACAAUAUGGGAGAAAUAUCAUCAUGCCUCCAAGGAUCACUAGAAAGAGGAAAGGGUAUAUAUACCUUAGAAGUGAGGCCUUGAACUUUUUAUCUUGUCCUUCAAAUGUACUUUAUCUUGGACCAAUAGACUUGAUACUUUUGCCUCUUUGCAGGAAUUUCCUUAAGAGGUAACUCCUUCUUUUGAUUCAUGGGGUUAGAUGCUUCACCCCUUGUCAUAAAAUAUCCAUCGACCCAUAGGAGUUUGACUAGGUGUCUCCUUUAAGUCAGGCCUUCAUAAACUUUGAAGUCCUUGAAUAAGAAUUCAUCUAGGACUUCAAACUUAUUCUUAUGAGUAGGGGUGUGCGAAAAUAAACCAACCGAUAAAAAUGCUAUUGGGUUAUUGAUAUUUGGUUAUUGGGUUAACGGUUUCUUAGUGGUUUUAUAAAAAAUUUUAUUGGGUAAACGGUUCGGUUUUGGUUUUAGCUUAUUGGGUUAUUGGUUAAACCGAUAACCCAAUAAGAAUACACUAAGUUAUUAUUUUUCCCUAUUUAUGUAAUAUAUAUAUAUAUAUAUAUAUGUGUGUGUGUGUGUGUAUGUGUGUGUGUUAUAUACACUACUUAUUCACAGUUCUGUGAUUCACAAAGUAUUAACCUAUUCAGGAAAACAAAGAAACAAUAUAAAGCACGAGUAUUAUCAUUGGAAAGCUUGAAGCAUUUAGUAGCUUCCAACAAUUAGGAUUCAGUUUUUUUCUGAACUAACAUUCAAUUCAAGAUCGAAUAUUCUUGUAAACAAAAAUGCAUUGCGUAGGAUUUUGAUGGUAACUAAGAUUUUAUUUUUAUGUUAGUUGCUACUAUUUCUAUUUUAUGAGUAUUUUCUUAUUGGUUAAACUAAAAACUGAACUGUUAAUGAUCAAAAACCGAUAAGAAAAUAUCUUAUUGGUUGGUUAUUGAUUUUACAUAUUUAAAAAUUAAAAACUGAUAAACUGAACCAAUAAAACAUAUAAACUAACCGAACCGACGAUGCACACCCUUACUUAUGAGAGUUCUUUUUUGAAUCCAUAUUUGGAAACAUCGGCUCAUGAUCUUGGAAGAGAGAAAUAUUAGUACUAGGUGAAGGGACACUGUGUAUUGAUCUUCAACUCAGGACCUGUUCCCAGAUACACUCAUAUAAUGAGAACUAGGAGAUAUAUAAAGCAAGAAGUGCAGGAAUAAAGUAAAUAAAAGACACAAGGUUUUUACGCGGAAAAUCCUUGCUCAAGGGAGAAAAACAACGACCUACUUUUAGGCUUUCUAAGCUUCACUAUACUCAAGAAACUUCUUAAAUACAGACUCUAAGGAUUAACAUCCUAAUCCUUUGUUUCCUAGCAACAACUCUAUCCCAAGGAAACACAAAUAGUACCUCUACUACUUCAACCUCUAGCUAACUCUAACUGGACUCCAUAAGCUAAAUCUAUUUUGAACAAUCACCUAACUCUAGGUGAUUACAAUGAAAGGAAUACACCUCAAAACCUACUAACAAUUAUAAGAAAUGUAGGUACACAUUUUAGAACAAAGUACAAAGACUUAACUACAACAAAGAGAUAAAGACACGACUAGAUAAAUAAUUAGUUUUCUAUUGCAACUGCAGUCUUUUGAUUCACCACUUCAAAAAGAUAUUUAGUUGUCAGAAUAUGGAAAUGUUGGCCUUUUUAUUGUGGGAGCUGAGCAAUAUAUAUUGUAACAUAAGAAAACCUUAGAGAGAUCUCAUUGGUUGAGGAAAAAAAAGUGGAAACAAAUUUUUCUACCAACUUUUGUACUUUGUGUCAGUUGUGACUGUUGAUUGUGAUAGUAAUAGGUAAGCCCAACCUAUUCUCUACAAAAAAUCUAGGAAAUAGGUCCCAACAUACAGAAUUCAUAUAGUUUGUCAAUCAUCAAAACUAAGGACUUAACAAUUUCCCCCCUUUUUGAUGAUGAUAAACCUAUGCAACCAUUCAUCAUUUUCAAACCAUCCACACAAAGAACAAUAUACACCUUAGCAACACCCCAUAAGCCACAAGGCCAUGUCAAACUAGUUUGUUCAACCAUUUCCCCCUAUCAUUGAUACCUAUAAGUAUAUAGGCAUCCUACACCUUAUUCCCUCUAUCUAUGAGCAUCAAGUUCCCCUUAAGUGAGAGAACUCCUAUCUUCAUUAGUACAACCCAAACACAUCCCAAAUUGCUACUUCCCAACCUAAAGCCUAGCCAAUGUCCAACCUACUACAUCCCAACAUGCUAAAGCAAGCUAACACAAACUAUGUAAUCUACUUCAAACUUUCCCCUUUUUGGUAUCAUUAAAGAGGUUAGGCAGUAAAUUAAGCAUAGAUAAGCAUAUAUGUUAAUUUAUGGCCAUUGAGGUAAUACUUACAUGAUCAAGAAAAGAUCAGAUAAAAAUGAGAGAAGGGAUAACAUAGAGAAAAAAUCACAGUUAUUCAACAAGCAGUACCGAAAACCAUUCAAACAUAACAACCAUUAAAAAUAUUGAAAACAAUAGUGCCAGGUACACAUCAGAGACAAAAGAACAAGAAGAAUCACAGGGCUUAAAGAUAGGACUAGGAAGGUGAAGGAGUAGGUACCAUAAGAGAAAGAUUUAGGAAGAAGUUCCUGUAGCUCGAUCUAGCUUCCUGAGGAGUAUAUUCAUUCUUUCAUAUUCUGCAGCAUGAGCCUUAAGAAUCUAUGAAUCAACGCUUCAUUUUUUGCAGUCAAGGGUUAAACUUGAGCUUCUAACUUCUCCAUCCUUGCAUGUAGGGUAACAUUUUCUUCUUUUAACUUUUCACCAGAGUUGGUCCCCUCUUCAACUCCUUUGACUGAUGCAACUUUUAAUGUAACAAUCUCAACAUCCUUUAUAGCAAUUAUGAUAGUCAUUGACUCCAUUUCUUCCUUCAAAUUCUUCUGUGGUUCCACUAUCUCAGACAUAGGGGACUUAGACUUCUCACCACCUCUCCUGGGAACACACUCAUUGUCCUCUAGAGUGGUUAUAUUAAGUAUUUAUUUAACCGAUCCAAAUUUUCCUUGUUCACACACCACAUUAAAGUAGUCAAAAAUAUUGUUAAGUCAAAACCCAUAUACCAGGCCAUGUUUUCCAUCCUUAGCAGUAAUCACUGUAUGCAUAUGUUCAAUAAUGAGAGUAGAAAGGUUGAUUUUCUUAAAUUUUGCCAACAUCUCCAUGAGAUAUAGAUCAGGACCUGUGAUAGUGGUUUUUUUUUCUAAUCUAGGUAGAAGAUACUUAUUUACCAACUCAAAGAAUAGUUAGUACUCACCAUUUAGGGCCUUAUUGGUUACAUUCUUUACAUUCAUAUCAUCAAUAUUACUACAAACCGUUAAAAACUUGGUUGAUCCUUCUUCCUUUUUUGCAGAUUUUAUUCCCUCAGUAGGGACUCCCAAGAUUUUAGACAUUAUCUCCUCAUCAAUAACAAUAUUUAUUCCAUUCACCUGAGAGAUCAUGUACAAACCAUCUUCAGAGAAUGUUAGGUUGCGAUAAAAAUGCAAUUCUUAUUCAUAUAACAGAGGAACAUGUCCCUCCAAUAGAUGCUCCCAUGCUUGAAACUUAACCCAUUCGAUUAAUUCCUUCAUUACAGGAAGCUCAGCCACAGUGGGAUCAAAUAUUAUGCCUCUCAUCACUUUUUGAGUCUUCAAAAUUUUUUGCCUUGCCUCUUUUGACAGCACUCUACCCUUCACAAUGAAGGAGGAGGCCUUUCCCAGGGCACCAACUCCCUUUUCAGAUGAACUAGAAGCUUCAGAGGUAUUAGCAACCUUGGGGCUGGGACCUGAUACAUUGUUCCCUACAGAUUGUACCCUUUUUCUCUUCCUAGUUUGCUUAGAUAUAUUCUUUUAUCUGAACUCACUUCUCUUUUCUCGAAGAAUAGUUUACUUAAUUACUUUAGAAGAGUGACUAAAUUUACUAGUCUUAGUGGGGAGAUUCAUGAAGUAGGUAUAGUAAUGAUAGGCUUAGAUAUUAUGAUUGAUGAAAACACAAACUGAUAAGCUAUGUGGUUAGUACUCCAUGAAUUAAGACAUGAGGUUGUUGGAUUACAGUGAUGAGGUGAGGUUAUAUUCUUAAUGGGAGGUAGAGUAUAGGGUCCCAUAGCUUAAGCUAGCACCUUUUUACCCCGAGUUAGGCUUCAACAUAAAAAGAACUAUGUAGUGAAACUCAAACUCUUGUAGUUAGGUAUGUUAUGGAAAAUUAUAGGUUGGAAAUAAUGAAGUAUGUUAUUUACUUAUUUAUUUAUUUAUUAUUUGGGGCAUAGUCGAGUAGUGUCUCUAAGUGUAAGGUCUAAUCGUUUUAAAUUGUACGGUGGAGAAUGUUUCUAUUCCUAUCUUCUGCGAAACCUUAUUUCAUGAAUAGUACCAAUGUAAAUCAGGCCUAUUAUCACCAAAUAAGAUCAUGCCUUAUGUUGUGAUGAUUAUGAUCCCUAGAACUCAUAUGCAAGGUCAUCGCUAUGUUAAUUCUUGUUAUCUCACGCUUUGUGCUUACACGUUUCACUAAGGGUUAUCAUGAAUCCCUUUUGAUGCCUUUGCAUACUUAGUUGAGGAGAAAUGUUCAAUGUGAAGCUAUGUUCUUUAUUUCAUACUUUUUGAGCUUUAACAAGUUCCUACCCAUCAUUCGGGAAUGAAUGAUCCCAAGGGAGAGAUAAUGUAACACCCCAUAGUUGUAAUGCUCUAUUAAUGCAUUUAAAAUGACCUUUAGGACACCUAUAGUGAUAGUAGAUUAUGUAUAGACAUUGUGGGAGGUGUUGGGGGUGUUUUAGGACCUCAAAACUUAGUGUGUGUCGCAUUGCCAUCGCCUAUAGCCACUGGAAAAGCUAGGCGAUGAGGUAGGCGCCGCUCACCUAGGAGCUAGAAGAUAGGCAAGGCGCCACCCAUAUUGUGGCUAUGCCAUGGACAAGGCGUCACCCACCUUGUGGCUACAUAAUAGGUUGGGCACCGUAUGGCCAAUGCAUUGCAGCGUAGGGGCUCUAUUUUUGUAUUAUUUUAAGGGUAAUAUGGUCCUUAAAUGUUCCAUAACCAUCCCUAAACACUCUUAGAUGAAAUUAAAGUCCAUAUUCAUGUUAUAUAACUUACUACAUCCCUAAUUCAUCUUAUUUAAGCAAGAAAUGGGAAAAUUAACUAGGGUUUUAGAGAUUAAGCCUCAAGAGUCAAAAUUUCUCAAUGUUUUCAUCAAUCUAAGAUAUGUGGGGAUAUCCUAAACCUCAUGGACGUAGAUUUACUAUUUUUAAACAAGCUAUAAAGAGCAUAUAUUUAUGCGUACGAAAUAGAUUUUGAAAGUAUUGAUGAACAUGCAUUAAAAAUCUCAUUUUACAAUGAAGUCUUAUAGAAAUUAUGGUGUUGUACCCUAAAUAUGAAAUGUUUUCAUGUGUUCAUGUGCUAUUAAGUUUGAGAAGUUAAAUGAGAGCAUGAUGUAUGUAAUUCCCUUUCUUAUUAUUAAACCCAUUGUUUUUACAUGUUGUGGGUUGAUUAUACAGAUAGCUAAAAACUUGAGUUUGAAGGUUUACUGUCAUGUAUGAAUUAUACUGUUUUUAUUACUAAAUGAGAGGGUGUUUUCCUUGAUUUAUAAAUGUUCAUGUUCCCAAAAGAGAGUUGCAUGUAACUGAAUAAGGAUUUGACCACUGUAGAUAAAGUAUUGAAGAGAGAUAGUGUUUUGUUUUCAUAUGCUUUUGCAGUAUGAAAUCUCGCCUGAUUUUUUAAUAUUUUGGGUGGUCAAUAACAUGCUUUUCAAUAAGAAGGGUAAUAGAGAAGUUUUGGUAUAAAAUGAAGGACUUGCAAGUCUGGGUAUGACUAUAUCUAUUAAAAUGUGCCCUAAAUAGAAUAAGAGAGAAACAAUUAUAAGAAGAAAGCAUGAUUUUUUUAAGAGUCUAAAAUAGGGCUUAAGAAAGUUAGAUGGUUACCCGAAGAAGGCACAAGUUUAAAUAACUUAUUUCUCAACAUAGUGAUUUGCCGACACAGGUUUUAUAUUGCCCUGAAAUAGGGGAAUGUACGCUGGUGAUGGCCUUGUGGCAUAGUAGAGAUGCAGAGACUCCAGCCCUUAUGGGAAAAUUGGCUUAGGGGCUUGGCCGUCAAGUCAAGAGCGGAUUCCAUAUAGCCUAUAAAAUUACAGAUUGUAGGAUAUACCAUCUAGCUCAAUAGAGAAAUGAAGAGUUGAGUCAUGAUUUCAAUAAGUUAUUUUGAAGCUCAUCACAUUAUGCCCAUGUGUUUUCAUUUACCUUAUGUUAAAUGUUUUUAUAAAAUGCUCUCACAUAUGUUGUAUAAAAAUAUAUUAUUUUGGAUUGUUAUAUGUACCAGUAUUUUUUUGUAUUGACCCCCUAUAUUUCAGGUUAUGCGGUAUAGUCCCAUGGUCCAUCACAUCAGUAGAACACUUGGGAUUUGACAGAAGUGAUGAGCCAUCCAUCUUUGAAAAGGCAUUUAUUUAUAUGUUGAAUCUUUCAGUAAAUGAUCCAGUCGGGGGCUUUGUCUCGGCCUAGACAGUUAGUAUUUAGUAGAGGCUUCGUAGAUGGUAGUUGAAGUGUUGUAUUGUCAUAUCUUAUGAUGCAUUUCAGAUUGUAAGUUUUCCAAUAAAUAUUGUUAUAUCUUCCGCACUUUAAUUUAUGUAUGGAUUUUGCUUAUGAUAGUAUGCUAAGAGGUCUCUCGGGCUUUGUGGUUCGGGAUACCCGUUGCGAAUAGGGUCCUAGCUCGGGUCGUGACAAUCUUGGUAUCAGAGCACAGUUUAUGGUUCCAGGGUAUCUACGAAGCCGUGUCUAGUAAAGUCUUGCUUAUGGGUGUGUUGUGCACCACACUUAUAAUCAAGAGGCUACCGGGCAUUUAGGAGUUGUUUCUCAUUUUUUCAUAUUCAAGUUCAUGCUAUAGUGUCAUCCAUAUGAAAGGUAUCCAAUUUUCUUCCUUCCUAUAAUUUUAUGGGUCAGGCCUCAUUGUCGAGGCGAUACAAGUUCAAGAGUUUAAAUCCCCAACAAUGUGGUCCUUUUUUAUUGAGUUAUCCAUGAAGUUAUGAGAUAGCACAAGGACUUGAGAGGAGUCCAUUAGUGCUUCAAAGUUAUUGAUUCAAGUGUAUACCUCUAUCUUAAUAAAAUUGUGCUUUUCAGCCUGAGGUAUGAAGUGUACUCAGUCCCUUUCAAAAUCCCUAUUAUGGAUGUCAUGCUUAAGGAUAGAGAUAUGUGACAAAAUGUUGGAACAAUAUUUUCACCUAAGUAGUAGUAUAUGAUAAGGUGUAAUAACCUAUUUGUAGUAAGAUUAUCCCGAAGUUAGUUUUAUAAAUUCGCAAGUCUAGAAGUUAGAGUGAGGGUGACUUUCACAUAAAUAAGUUGUUGUAGUUGUAUAACCCUUGACUGGGGGGUGGUUUGCUCUUUUAUGGUGAUGGGCUGAUGUUGUAGAAAGAUUUGUAGAUUGCAUGGUAUUCUGUGAAGGAAGUGAUUGGCUAUGAUUGUUAUUUAUUCAAAAUAGGAAAGGAUCUCAGAGUGGAUAGUUAUGGUGGUUAUAGAAAUCAUUUAUAGGCUGUGAAUGAAAAAGGGAUAGAUUAGUUAAUAAGUUAUAGGUAGAGACUCAUUGGUGUAUAUAGAACUUGAAGGUAGUGGGGAUAUAUGUAUGGGUAAGUAAAUAUGAUGUGAGAAAGUGGUAUAUGUUGAUAAGAUCGUAAUGGGUUAUGGUAUAAGAUUAAGAUCGACUGUCCCUAUUAUGUGACUUUACCCCCUUGAUUGUCUUUUCUCUAGUAGUUGUAAACUAGUACUUCAUGUGAGAAGGUAUAUAGUAAAUUUUGAGAUGUAGUAGUGAUACAUGGAUAGGAUAUGAUUUUAGGUAGUAGUUAAGUGAAAUGAGGUAUUGGUUUGAUUUCCCAAUUUGAUGGACCAGUAUAGUAUGUGGCAUGCCUCAUCGGUGGUACAUAAUUGAUGCUAGACUCUAGGCUUGAACUUUAGAUGUGGAGUGUGGUGGUAAGUAUAUUGGCUUAAGAUUAAUGAUGUAUGUUUUGUAGGAAUAAACUAGUAGGCUUAAUGUAAGAUAUGAAAUUUCCUAGGUUGGCAAUUUAUGAAAGAAAGAGUGGAUAAUUGUUAUAUAUGUACAUGAGGACUAAGGUGAAACGAUGAAUUGUGGUUGAGUCGUUAAGAGGGUAAGAGUAUUAGGUAUAUAAGAAUAAGUUGAAACCCCCUGAUAGUAUGUUGUUAGAUAAGGUUUUAUGGGUAUAAGUGUCAUGUGUACCUAGUUCAUGUUCUUGAAUUGUGCAGUAUGGGGAAGACUAAGGAGUUGCUGUGUGAUGUUCUUUAGAGCUGAAUUGAGAAAAUAUAGGUAGGCGGUAUGUGCCUUUGGUAUAGUUUUACAAAUUUUGUAAAGUUAUGAGUUAUGCGAUUAGAGGUUUAAUACGAGUAUGUUAAGUAAUAAAGGAUGAAUUAUUAUAUGAUAAGGAUAUUCGGAUAUGUAUUCUCAUGAGAGUGUGAGUUGUAGGGUGAUGGCUAUAGAGGCUAGCGAAAGUUAAGAGUUGCACUUCUGGAAAGCGAGACUUUAGAGUAUAGUUUAUCAGAGGAGUUUAGCAUUUAUGUGUAUGGUGAUACCCCAUUGUGUUGAGUGUUGUUCCUGUAGAUUUAUUGAGAAGAUAUGCCCUAAGUUUAGGAUUGUGACUUUAAUCUAAGGGAGAGAUGAUGAACUAAGGUAGUUCUUGAAUUUUCUCAUGGUGGCAAGUUUCAGGGAAGAUUCAUGAUAAAUCUAUUCCUAUUCAAGCAGACUCCUUCUACUUCAAUUUAAGAGGUCAUUCUACCAAUGCCUCAUGUAUUCAAGUGCCUAUACCUAAGGUUUAAAUUAUCUAUGCAACUUAUGUCUAUGUUCCGUACUUCAAACUAAAAGCAAUAAUGUCCCCCGACAAUCCAAGCUUUCAAGUAUUCAAGUUCUAUGUUAUGAUGCUCAUGAUCUAUAAAUCUAUGUCUCACAUCAUGCUUGGUUCAAAGAAAAUAUGUUUUCCAUAUGUCACCGAUUCAUUUUAUGUCGGGUUUAGCCUAAAGUGAUAUGGUACAUGUAAACUCAUGACUAUCUCAGCUCUGAAAAUGAGGAGCAAUAACUUCAAGUAUCAAGUCUUGUCUCAAUCAGUAACUUCAUGAAUUUUGGCCUUAUGGUAUAUGACUCAUGAUAUAUGCGCUCAUGUUUCUCACCAUAAGUUCAGUCCUACAAACUUAUAUUGUACUAUGUUUAUACCCGAACGACUCUCUAUUUAUGAUUUAGGCAUCUAAUGUAUGAAGUACUUCAUUCCUAUUGCAUCACAUCUACCAUUGCAUCCCCCACCUUGAGUAGUGCAACAAGUAUGAGUUAUAAUUAAAUAGUGUUACUCCUAUUCAUAAUGCUUAUGCUCGGGUCGCUCAAUGACCAUCCAUAUGUUAGUAUGAUGGUGGUUGUGUGAACAUAGUAAUGUCUUAGGUAGGGGAGUAGAUGUUCUUGAAUGUGAAAAUUUUAAUGUGAUUCUCGAGUUAUGAUUAUAUGUGAAGGAGGAAAAAAAGAGAUGAACUUUCGUUGUGUGAAAUAGUUAGGAAGGAGAUAUGUGGUGAAAAUCUUUGUGAGAGUGACUGAAUUUGUUGGUCUUAGUGGGGAGAUUCAUGAAGUGGGUGUACUAAUGAUAGGCUUGGAUAUUGUGAUUAAUGAAAACACAAAACCAAUGUGCUAUGUGGUUAGUACUCCAUGAAUUAAGACAUGAGGUUGUUGGAUUACAAUGAUAAGGUGAGGUGAUAUUCUUAAUGGAAGGUAGAGUACAGGGUCCCUAGCUUAAGCUAGCGCCUUUUUACCCCGAGUUAGGCUUCAACAUAAAAAAUACUAUAUAGUGAGACUCAAACUCUUGUUGUUAGGUGUGUUAUGAAAAAAUAUUAGGUUGGAAAUAAUGAAGUAUGUUAUUUAUUUAUUUAUUUAUUAUUUGGGGCAUAAUUGAGUAGUGUCUCUAAGUGUAAUGUCUAAUCAUUUUAGAUUGUACGGUGGGGAAUGUUUCUAUUCCUAUCUUCCGCGAAACCUUAUUUCAUGAAUAGUACAGAUGUAAAUCAGGCCUAUUAUGUAACACCCCAUAAAAUUUUUGAGUCAUUAGAGCUUCUAAAGCAUGUCAAGAAAGGCUUAACACUUAGAAAAUUUGACUAAGUGUUGAAACUUUUUCAUUUCCAUAAGCCUUCGAAACUUUGAUGAAUUAUUUUGUGACCUGCCCAACCUCUAAUUCUUGAUUUUCUUGUUACGCUGCAAAGGGGCAAGUCAAGAGUACAUCCCGGGUGAGUUUCGAAAUUUUUGGACGAGCCUAAGGUCGUGUUUGGGUUGGAAAAACAGUAGAUAAAGGCUACAGAGGGGCACCCCCAGCUUAGAUCCUUGGCCCCUUCCCUCAGUAGCAAGGCGCCGCCCAGGUUCCACCAUGGGAAGAGAAAGGCGCCGCCCUUCUCCCCUGGGAAUAGUAGGGCGCCGCCCAGGCUGUAGCCCUGGGCCAAAAAUCUGCAUUCCAAGUCCGUGUUUUCAAGGGCAAUUUGGACAAAUACCACCCCUAUAUAAGUUUCUUUAACACGAGAGUCAUCAUAUUUUCACCCAAAAUAUAAGGUUUUCUCUCAAUUUUCCUCAAGAACAAGAAUAAGGGUUUCUAUUGAAGGUUCAAAAUCAAGGAAAUUCCUUCGUGAAUCUUUCAAGAAUCAUAUAGGAAGGUAUGUUGGAUGUUGAUUCUUGGGUUCCUCCCACCCAAGAAGUUCAAGAAUCCCUUUUUAAAUUCAAGAUCUUAUGUUUAUGAGUUUUUCAUGACUGGAGUUGUUUGAAGUUGAAGCCCACGUUAAUAUUAAGUUUUAAUUCAUGUUGUGAUCAUAAAGAUACAAGUAUUGACCUUAGUAUGUGUUGGUUAUGUGAUGUUCAUGAUAAAGUCCCUUCAUGAAGCAUGCUGAGUUAUGUAAUUAUGUUAAUUUGGUGUAUUGAAUGUUGUAUGGCCAAAGGAUGCCUCCCACAUGUUUGAUAAAUUGCUCAUGUGAAGAAAAUAGUGUCAUUGUAACAUGAAGUAUGUUAUUCCCAAGCAUAUGUCAACUAGUGCAUGCUAAGUGUUUGUUAAAAGGCCUAAAAUGAAAGAAUUAUGAUAUGUUGCAUGUAUUCCUAUUCAUGUGAAUUCCUUGUUGGAUGAGUUAUGAGACAACAUCAUGCUUCUCAUUACAAUUACAUGUUUAAGAUUCCCAAGUGCUUGAAAUGAUGCUUUAUUGGUUAUGUUGCGAAUAAUAGUCUAUUGUCAUGAUUGUUACGCAAGAGUUUUCAUGUCUUAUUUAUUUAUGCUAUCGAGUCCUGGGGGUAUUUAAUACCCAAAAACUUAGUUUCUUGUCUAAAGCUGAGUCAGUCUCAAGAUAAUCUCAGUCGUGCUAUGAUUAGCAGGAUUCAGACAGUUACAGAAUGUAAAGAAAUUCAGUAAUCUCAGUACUAGUUCAAUCCAGUCUCAGUAUUCAGUCUAAUCAAGCUCAGUACUCAGGUCAGAUUUCAGUAAAGCUGAGUGAGUUACAGAACUCAGUCACGUUCAUACAGAAAGUAGAAUCCAUAAGCAUUCUGUCAGACAACGGAAUCAAGCAAACUCAGUCAGAUCAGUCAAGUAAGAUAAUCAGCAACAGAUUCAGUUCAGUUUAGUUUAGUGUAAGAAUCAGUUCAGAGUCCUUCAGUUGGGAGUAGGAACUAGCACCAAGCGAGUGCAGGGAUGACGACUUCCCCUUUAGAGAGGCAGAGUCGUUAGGAGCAAUCCCUAAACUCCAAAACUGCGUAGCCAGCAUAGGAAUAGGAUUCACCCGUUAGAUUAAGGCUUGAUUAUCAUAUUGCCUUAGGCUUGACUUUCUGUUCAGGGUCACCCGUUAGAGAGGCUUGACCAUAGCAGAGGUCUUUACCCAUGGCACGGUAUUGACACCCUUCCAGCCCACUAGAUUAGAAUCGGGGCAUGUCGGUUAGGUGAGAACUCCUAUAGUUGCAGUUUUAGUAUCAGUCUUCAAACUAGAACUCAAAAAUCAGAACUGUCAGAUACAGCCACCCAUCUUAGAAAGGAACUUAGAUAGUUCCAUAGAUUCAUAGACCACCCGCUAGAUAGGCCUUGUAUCACAUAAAGUUAAUCAGUAUUAGUACUAAAAGAUCCAGAGAUCCCCCGUUAGAUAGGCCCGAUCUCAAACUCAGUCCAUCAUUUCUAUUAUUACAAGAUUCAGAGAUCUUCCGCUAGAUAGGUCUGAUCUUAGAUAUAAUUAUUCCUUAUCAUUAUUAGUAGAUUCAGAGAUCAUCCAUUAGAGAGGUUUGAUUACAGAUUUAGUCAGUCGAUAGUAGCAAAAUUAGAACUCAGUUAUUGAUAUAAGUAGAUUCAGUUAAUCAGCUUCAGUAUCAUCAGUUUCAAAGAUCACUUGCUAGAUAGGACUGAUCUCAACUUCAGUACUCAUUUAACAAUAUCAGAAGAUUCAGUUAUUCAGUACCUCAGUAUUAGUAGUGAGUUCAAAUAUCAGUAAAACAAUAUUUGAGUCUCAGUAUUCAGAGUCAUGAUGAUUUUCAGUUAUGGUUUGUGCAUUCAUGCAUAUGUCCUUAUUCAGUACUCGCAUGUUAUUCAGUUAAGUUAUGUUCAUGCAUAAGCCCUUGCAUUUAGCCUUACCUCAUAUAGCAUACUAGUACAUUCAAAGUACUGGCAUACUUUUUUCUUACGCUAUAGUGUUUUAUACCAUAGGUUCAUAAGCGCGAGAUCUAGAGCACCCAUAGCAGUCCAGACUCAGUAGCAGCAAUAGACGUAGUAGUCAGUCCUCUUCAUUUAAGGAUGCCUCAUAUUUCAGUUUUAUAUUAGAUUUAUUUUAUUUUCAGUAGAAGGAGUUAGUUGGGGACAUAUCCCAUCAACUCUACAAAUCAGAUAGUUAGAGGCUUUUCAGACAGAUGUAUUAGUAUUCAGUUUUUAGUUUUGUGCAUUUUAGACGUUUUGAACCUUAUGGCAAGUUUUCUCCAGUUUUCUGCAUUUGUUAUAUUAUAUUAUGCAGUUCUCAGGUACAGAUAUUAGUAGAGGGUUAGCUUGUGGUCCUUCGGGAUCAUGAGCACCAUGUGGCGUUAUGAUUUCGGAAAAUCGAGGCGUUACAUAUUAUCACCAAAACUCAUGCUUUAUGUUGUGAUGGUUAUGAUCCCUAGAAAUCAUGUGCAAGGUCAUCUCAAUGUCAAUUCUUAUUUUAUCACGCUUCGUGCUUACACAUUUCACAAGGGGUUAUUAUGAAUCCCUUUUGAUGUCUUUGCAUACUUGGUUGAGGAGGAAUGUUCAAUGCGAGGUUACAUUCUUUAUUCCAUAUUUUCAGAGCUUUAACAAAUUUCUACCCAUCAUUCGGGAAUGAAUGAUCCCAAGAGAAAGAUAAUGUAAUGCCCCGUAGUUAUAACACUCUAUUAAUGCAUUUAAAAUGACCUUUAGGACCACCAUAGUGAUGGUAGAUUAUGUGUAGACAUUGUGAGAGAUGUUGGGGGUAUUUUAGAACCUCAAAACUUAGUGUGUGUCGCACUGCCAUCGCCUACUGCCGCUGGAAAAGCUAGGCAGUGGGAUAGGCACCACCCACCUGGGAGCUAGGAGAUGGGCAAGGCGCUGCCCACGUUGUAUCUAUGCCAUGGACAAGGCGUCGCCCAUCUUUUGGCUAGGCCAUGGGCUGGGUGCCGUAUGGCCAAUGCAUUGAGGCGUAGGAGUUCUGUUUUUGUAUUAUUUUAAGGGCAACAGGGUCCUUUCACAUUCCAUAACCGUCCCUAAAAACUUUUAGACGAAAUUAAAGUCCAUAUUCACGUUAUAUCACUUACUAAAUCGCUAAUUCAUCUUCCUUAAGCAAGAGAGGGGAAAACUAACUAGGGUUUGAGAGAUUAAGCCUCAAGAGUCAAAGUUUCUCAAUGUUUCCAUCAAUCUAAGGUACGUGGGUCUUUCCUAAACCUCAUGAGCGUAGAUUUACUAUUUUUAAACAAGCUAUAAUGAGUAUAUAUUUAUGCAUACGAAAUGGGUUUCAAAAGUAUUAAUGAAUAUGCAUUAAAAAUAUUGUUUUAUGAUGAAGUCUUGUAGAAAUUGUGGUGUUGUGCCCUAAAUCUGAAAUAUUUUGAUGAGUUCAUGUGAUAUUAAGUUUGAGAAGUUAAAUAAGAGCAUGAUGUAUGUAAUUCCCUCUCUUAUUAUUGAACCUAUUGUUUUUACAUGUUGUGGGUUGAUUAUACGAAUAGCUAAAAGCUUGAGUUUGAAGGUUUAUUGUCAUGUAUGAAUUGUAUUAUUUUUAUUACUAAAUGUGAGGGUGUUUUUCUUAAUUUAUAAAUGUUCACGUUCCCAAUAGAGAGUUUAGUGUAAUUGAUAAAAGAGAUGAUCAUCGUAGAUAAAGUAUUGAAGAGAGAAAGUGUUUUAUUUUUAUGUGCUUUUGAAGUAUGAACUCUCGCCUGAUUUUUCAAUAUUUUGGGUGGUCAAUAACACGCUUUGACAUAAGAAGGGCAGUAGAGAAGUUGUAGUAGGAAAUGAAGAACUUGCAAGUCUGGGUAUGACGAUACCCUAUUAAAAUGUACCCUAAACAAAAUAAGAGAGAAACAGUUAUAUGAAGAAAACACGAUUUUUUUAAGAGUCUAAAAUAAGGCUUAAGAGAGUUAGAUGGUUACCCAAAAAAGGCACGAGUUUAGAUAGCUCAUUGCCCAAAAUCGUGAUUUGCUAACACGGGUUUUAUGUUUCUCCUAAAUAGGGGAUUGUACGCUGGCGAUGGCCUUGUGGCGUAGUAGAGAUGUAGAGACUCCAGUCCUUGCGACAAACUUGGGUUAGGGGCUUGGCUGUCGAGUCAAAUUUAAAGUCGGAUUUCAUAUAGCCCAUGAAAUUACAGAUUGCAGGGUGUACCAUCUAACUCAGUAGAGAAAUGAAGAGUUGAGUCAUGAUUUCAAGAAGUUGUUUUGAAGCUCAUCACAUUAUGCCCAUGUGUUUUCAUUUACCUUAUGUUAAAUAUUUUUAUGAAAUGCUCUCACCUAUGUUGUAUAAAAAUAUGUUAUUUUGGAUUGUUCUACAUACCAGUAUCUUUGUGUAUUGACCCCCUAUAUUUCAGGUUAUGCGGUAUAGUCCCAUGGUCCAUCAUAUUACUAGAACACUUGGGAUUUGACAGAAUUGAUGAGCCAUCCAUCUUUCGAAAGGCAUUUAUUUAUAUGUUGAGUCUUUCAGUAUAUGGUCCACCAGGGGCUUUGUCCCGGCCUAGACAAUUAGUAUUUAGUAGAGGCUUCGUUGACGGUAGUUGAAGUGUUGUAUUGUCAUAUCUUGUGACACAUUUCAGAUUAUAAGUUUUCCAAUAAACAUUGUUAUAUCUUCUGCAUUUUGAUUUAUGUAUGGAUUCUGCUUAUGAUAGUAAGUUAAGGGAUCUCUUGGGCCUUCGUGGUUCGGGAUGCCCAUCGCGGCCAGGUUCCCGACUCGUGUCGUGACAUAAUAACUUAAAAUCACCAUAGAAACUUUUGUCCAACAAUACUCGUCUAUCUAUAAUCUAUAUCUAUAAUAUAUUAAAAGUUUGAAGAACUUUAUAAAUGUUGUUUAAAUUUUUUGUCCUUCAUUAAAAAACCAGACAAUAGACAAAACAAUCAUUUACUAAUUUUUUUUUUUAUAAUAAAUUGUAGUAAAUAAUUUUUAAAUUUUAUUUUAAAUAACCAAAGACUACACGUGUGAGGCACACGCAUUUAACCUAAUAUUACUAAAAAUAGAUGUCUAACAAUACUUGUUCAGUUUGAAAAAUCAAUGAAUAAUUUACUCAUUUCUAUCCAUUUUACCCUUAAUAAUAAUUUAUAGUCAUUCCUCAAUAUAAUUUUCUAAGCAUUGAAUUAAUUAUAUCCAAAGGGCGAUAUAGUCAAAUUACUCGUACUACUUAUUGUUUCUUAACAUAUACAUCAAUGAUGGAUAAGUAUUAUUACUAAGAAAAUAAACUUUAAAUUAUGAAAUCACAUUGGUCAUCAAAUCUACUCUCCCGUCCCAAAUUUCCUAAUUUGAUUUCCUAUUUUACUUGUCCUUUUUCAUUAAUCAAGAAGAGACAAAAUUAUUUCUUCGUGUUUUACCCUUUGCAUUAAUUAUUUUUUUUUCAAAUUAAAAUAUAAACAUUAUUUAAUAGGGGCACUAUCAUAAAUUAGUCAUGUUAUUAAUUAUUUUUUUUAAUCAAUAUGUCAUCUCAAUUUGAGAUGGGUAAUUUGGGACGAAGGGAGUAAUUGAAUGUGGGAGUUUGGGACCAACACGGAUCAAACAUAUCAUUUAAGUGGUCCGCCCAAACAACUCUUCGUGGUUCGUAACAUUAUAAUUUAAGUGUACGCAAGAUUUUCCACAAAUUAAAUGGCAGUAUUCGUAUAUUCAUUAUCACAACUCAAUGUGAAAUUUUAUUUUGAAUUUGAGGCAGUGGAGCUUCCAAUCCUAUAAUUUUUUUUUCUUAUCCAGAUUGAUAUUUAUAUAUCUUAUGUGGUGUUAGAUCAUAGUAACAAUUUUAUUAUUUUUUUAAUGUGAAAUCAAUAAAUAUUUUUUGUAUAAAAAUUUCUUUUACUUAAUUAUGUGAGUUAUAUCUUCCAUUUUAAUUUAAGUGACUGAAUUUGUUUCUAGUCUAUUUAGAAAGAAACGAUCACUUUUAAAAUUUGAAAAUAUUUCAGCUUAAACUUAUCAUUUUGCCCCUUUUUGUCCGUUAAACUGCGUGUUUGGUCAAUAGAUUCACACAAAUUGCUUCUUCAGAAAAGGAACAUCAAACGUUUACUUGGAAAACACGUUAUACAUGUAUGAUCCAAGUAAACGUCCAAACAUCCUUUCUAGCAUACCCGUCCGAAGAGUCAUGGAUAGGAUGAGUGAAAUGGUGGACAGGUAGUGCCUGAAAAACAGAAACAGAUAUUUCUGAAUCCCAAGGGCGAGUUUUCCGGGAGAACCCAACAGUUGAUGAAAGAUUUGAAAGCGCACAAGAAGAAUUCAUUCCCACCUCGGACUAGUAGGGGAGUGGAGGCAUAUAAAUAUUCUACUUUAUUAAACUAGUUAACCAUAAUAUAAUAAUUAAUACAAUUUAAUAUAAAUAUUCGAUGCAGAUAAAUUUUUAAUCGUUGAGUUAUUAUACACAAAUAAAUAUUUUUAAAAUAUUAUUUACAUAUAUAUGUACCUAGCCAAUUGACAGAGGCUAUUUCUAGAAGGGUGUCUUUGUCACUGUUUACGUCCGUCUUUAUUUCUUGUCAACAAGGAAAAAUAUAAGUUAAUUGUGGUGGAAAUCAAGAGCAUUCUUGUCAUAUCCAGUCGAUUAGUUAAAGGGACACACUUCUGGUGUAACAGAUCAUAAUUAUAAUAAAUUAGUGGUGAAAUAAUUAAUGAAUAAAAAUUAAGAGGAAAAUAAGAGAAUUUCUUCUUAGAUGAGACACAAAUAUCUCGCUCUUUUUAAGAAGAUUCAAAUUCACUACGACAUAAUUUACAUCGAUAUAAUAGUAUAUCUCUUGACUUGUCCCCUACAAGAUACAACAACCCAUCAACGAUAUACAACUCAAGCAAUUUCAGAUUAGUUGAAGAGUCCAAAGCUCCAUCACAAAAACACCUUUAUUAAACAUAUUAAAACACUCUUUUGUAUAGUGAAUAUAGUUGUAGAUUCAGAAUAUUUUCUUUGUCUCAACUCUUUGUUUCACUAAUACAAUUUUCACACUUAUCAUAUUUUGUUGUUCAUAAUAUAUCCAACACAAAUGAAGAAACACCAUUAUUUGUAGGUGUAGAAUUUUUUCAUGUAAUGAAUAUGAUGAAUGAGGCGUAGUAACGUGGGUAGAUAAAUAGUCUUGAUGUUACAUAUGUUACAUGCAGUUAAUGACCAUGGAGUUAUAAGAAACUAAUGGUCAUAUGAGUUACAAGAACUAAUAAUCAUCUUUUACCAUAAUUUAUACCCACUAACACACAAAAAAAAAAAUAUGGUGAGUUACAAGAAUAAUGACACUGCUUUCUUCAUUUUAUGCCAACUAAUUGUCAUCCACUUUAAUAUUUUUAUUUUAAUAUGAAAUGCACCAACACUUCAUUCCACCUCCCUCUGUUUCAAAAUAAAUAAACUAAAACAAAAAAAAAAUAUAUCUUAAAAUAAUUGUCGCUUUAGAAAUUCAAGAAAAAAAAAUAGUAAGUGUUUCAAAAACAUUUUUGUACUUCUUUUAUUUUAAUUUGUUUAUCUACUUUCUUUUUUAGUCUGUUUAAAAAUGAAUGUAUCUUUCUUAUUUUGAAAACUCUUUAUCUUCUACCGGUCAGGUUUAAGACCACAAUAUUAAUAGUUUGAGAAAUUUUACAUACUUUUAAUUUAAGAUCAUAAAAUUCAAAAAUUAUUUUUUACUUUCUUAAACUAUAAACUGUGUAUCAAACCAAAAUCAGACAAAUACAUUGUAAAAAGAGAGUACUAAAGCAUUAUUUCUUUUUAAUAGUACUCAAUUAUUAAGAAACAUCGUCUAACAAAUACUAGAAACGGCACUAGAAAUAACAUAGUAAACUAUAUUUUUUAUUUAUUAUUUUUCGGUGUGAAAUAAGCUAAUAUGACAAUUAUUUUUUGGACGGAAGGAGUAUAUCACUUUGAAUUCCCCUCUUAUCAACUUCAAACACUAGUAUAAAUAACACAUUAAUUUCCAUAGAGGAAAUAAGUUAAGGAAUGGAGAUUGUUGCUUCCUACUUAGUCUCAUUUUUGUUUGCAAUAAUUUUAGUAAUAUAUGCAUGGAGGUUGUUGGAUUGGGUAUGGUUUAGGCCAAGGAAACUAGAUAAGUGCCUAAGAAAACAAGGUCUCAAAGGGAAUUCUUACAAAUUAAUCUUUGGAGACCUCAAAGAGUUGUCCAAAAGCUUUGAAGUUGCCAAAUCCAAACCAUUCAAUGUCUCUGAUGACGAUAUAUCUCCCAGAAUUCUUCCUUAUUUUGUUGAAUCAAUCAAGAAACAUGGUAAGUUUUCGUUUUGUUUCGCACCUAAUGGGUAUUCUGUGCCUGUUUUUCAGUCCGACUAAUUUGAAAUACUAGUGGAAAAUCUCACUAGGAUAAUUCCAUUCCUAAGAUUCGAAUCCAAGAUUCUUAAUUAAGAGUGGACGGAUACAUUAAAAAUUCGUCACUAGGUGGG